GUCUCAUGGAGUCUUGAAGCUUCUCUGUUUUUCUCUGCUCAGAAUCUUUCAACCUCUGGUUUCUAAGGAGAUAUAAAAAUGGCGAAUGUUCCAAAGAUAGGAAAGGCUGUGUACCAGGGACCAAGCAUAGUCAAAGAGAUAAUAUAUGGAAUAGCACUAGGACUUGCGGCUGGAGGGUUGUGGAAGAUGCAUCAUUGGAACAACCAAAGACGAACGAGGGAGUUUUACGAUUUGCUAGAGAAGGGAGAGAUCAGUGUUGUCGUUACAGAUGAGUAGCAUUCGGACCGCAUAUAUUUUUCUUAUAAGAGUUCAAGAUCAAGAACCAAAAGGAAUGCGUUGUGUGUGUGUGUUUUAUUGUUCUUUCAAUAAAUGUUGUGAAACAAUGGAAACUUUAGAUCGAUGUUUUGAAAUGCGAAAGAAAUCGCUAUGGGGAUUGAGCUAGAGUGGAUACUACAAUUUCUUCUAUGAUCAGUCUCAUAA